ensembl:snRNA U6 U6 spliceosomal RNA
GUGCUCGCUUUGGCAGCACAUAUACUAAAAUUGGAACGAUACAGAGAUUAGCAUGGCCCCUACGCAAGGAUGACACGCAAAUUUGUGAAGCGUUCCAUAUUUUA